rnacentral:rRNA from 1 species
UACGUAGGGAGCAAGCGUUGUCCGGAAUCAUUGGGCGUAAAGCGCGCGUAGGCGGCCCGAUAAGUCCGCUGUAAAAGUCAACGGCUCAACUGUUGAAAGCCGGUGGAUACUGUCGGGCUAGAGUACGGAAGAGGCAAGUGGAAUUCCUGGUGUAGCGGUGGAAUGCGCAGAUAUCAGGAAGAACACCAACGGCGAAGGCAGCUCGCUAGGACGGUACUGACGCUGAGACGCGAAAGCGUGGGGAGCGAACAGG